GAAAUGCGAUAAUUAAUGUGAAUUGCAGAAUUCAGUGAAUCAUCGAGUCUUUGAACGCACAUUGCGCCCCCUGGUAUUCCGGGGGGCAUGCCUGUCCGAGCGUCAUUGCUGCCCUCAAGCACGGCUUGUGUGUUGGGCUUCCGUCCCUGGCAACGGGGACGGGCCCAAAAGGCAGGGGCGGCACCAUGUCUGGUCCUCGAGCGUAUGGGGCUUUGUCACCCGCUCCCGUAGGUCCAGCUGGCAGCUAGCCUCGCAACCAAUCUUUUUAACCAGGUUGACCUCGGAUCAGGUAGGGAUACCCGCUGAACUUAAGC
rnacentral:misc_RNA from 1 species